AUGAGCCGCAUGCAGGGAAACUUGCACGUGUGGUUCCGGCCGAGGACGCCGGUAUACUGUACUAAUAUGUGUAGGUCCCUGUAAUUCGAGU
rnacentral:ncRNA from 1 species